UUGGGUGAAAGACUUCCCACACUGGUUACAGCCAUAUGGUCUUUCUCCUUUGUGGAUGCGCAAGUGUCUUUUCAGGCUCUUCACU